rnacentral:rRNA from 1 species
ACACGUGGUAUCCUGUCUGAAUAUGGGGGGACCAUCCUCCAAGGCUAAAUACUCCUGACUGACCGAUAGUGAACCAGUACCGUGAGGGAAAGGCGAAAAAGAACCCCGGCGAGGGGAGUGAAAAAGAACCUGAAACCGUGUACGUACAAGCAGUGGGAGCACCUUCGGGUGUGACUGCGUACCUUUUGUAUAAUGGGUCAGCGACUUAUAUUCUGUAGCAAGGUUAACCGUAUAGGGGAGCCGAAGGGAAACCGAGUCUUAACUGGGCG